rnacentral:rRNA from 1 species
GGCGUGCUAAUCUGCGAUAAGCGCCGGUAAGGUGAUAUGAACCGUUAUAACCGGCGAUACCCGAAUGGGGAAACCCAGUGUGAUUCGUCACACUAUCAUUAACUGAAUCCAUAGGUUAAUGAGGCGAACCGGGGGAACUGAAACAUCUAAGUACCCCGAGGAAAAGAAAUCAACCGAGAUUCCCCCAGUAGCGGCGAGCGAACGGGGAGGAGCCCAGAGCCUGAAUCAGCAUGUGUGUUAGUGGAAGCGUCUGGAAAGGCGCGCGAUACAGGGUGACAGCCCCGUACACAAAAGCGCAUGUGCUGUGAGCUCGAUGAGUAGGGCGGGACACGUGGUAUCCUGUCUGAAUAUGGGGGGACCAUCCUCCAAGGCUAAAUACUCCUGACUGACCGAUAGUGAACCAGUACCGUGAGGGAAAGGCGAAAAGAACCCCGGCGAGGGGAGUGAAAAAGAACCUGAAACCGUGUACGUACAAGCAGUGGGAGCACCCUUCGGGGUGUGACUGCGUACCUUUUGUAUAAUGGGUCAGCGACUUAUAUUCUGUAGCAAGGUUAACCGUAUAGGGGAGC